rnacentral:hammerhead_ribozyme from 1 species
GCACUGAUGAUAAGUCUCAAACAGGACGAAACAGCUGUCCAGUGC